rnacentral:rRNA from 1 species
AUUGAACGCUGGCGGCAUGCCUAACACAUGCAAGUCGAGCGGAUGAAGGGAACUCGUGCCUGGAUUCAGCGACGGGCGGGUGAGUGAUGACUACGUGUCUACCCGAUAGAGAGGACUAACGUAAGGAAACGGGCGCUAAGACAGCAUACGAUCAGAGUGAGAAAGUGAGGGUUCUUCGGAGCUCGAGCUACCUGAUGUCACUACGUCGGAUUAGCUAGUUGGUGUGGUAAAGGCCUACCAAGGCGACGAUCCAUAGCUGGUCUGAGAGGAUGAUCAGUCACACUGGAACUGAGACACGGUCCAGACUCCUACGGGAGGCAGCAGUGGGGAAUAUUGGACAAUGGGCGAAAGCCUGACCCAGCCAUGCCGCGUGAGUGAAGAAGGUCUUCGGAUUGUAAAGCACUUUUAGUUGGGAAGAAGAGAAGUGAGUUAAUCCCUGGCUGUCUUGACGUUACCAAAAGAAUAAGCACCGGCUAACUACGUG